AUUCAGUCAGAACAGGAGUGGGGAAACAAUAUCUUGUUCCAGUGCCUGGCCCUGUGUCAGCUGCAUUAAUUCCCGGAGUCACUCCAGCCCUGCCAAUGCCUAUGACAGAUUCUGAGAAUUGGAAGCCCGACUGACCCCAGGCCAGCUGAGCUUGCAUCCCAGGCGCCAGGUCCCACUUCAUCUAAAGAGGAAGAAGGGGAAGAUGGGAAGUGAUUUGGCCUUGCUGUGUGUGAGGCACCCUGCUCCUUGUCUAUCCCAUUGCUGUUUUGUAACUACUUUCUAAUUUUUUUAUUCACAAUUGGAAACACAAAUGUUAUGCAAGAAUAAAAAAUAUUUUGGGGGAAAAAUA